rnacentral:rRNA from 1 species
UGCGAUGUCGUCGGCAAGGAAACCCGCUGAACUUAAGCAUAUCAAUAAGCGG